UCCAGCCUAGACCCAAAGCCCAAAAUUGCCAUCAGUUACUUCUCAACUCUUCUCUUGAAGUGCCCGUUCAACUUUCAAGAGAGAGAGAAAAAAAUCGAUCGAUGGCGGGAAUGGCAGAAAUGCGGAGGAGACAAGGAGCAGACCAUUAGCUCCUCCUGCUAGAGGUUUUCCUCCUCCGCCUAUUGAUCGUGAGAAGACAUGUACUUUAUUGCUUCGGUUUUUCUACCAAGGUUGGAGAACAUCAUAGCAAGGAGGAUUUUGCUGUGAGAGGCAAGGAGCCGAAAGACGAGGUUCAGAUUUAUACAUGGAAGGAUGCUACUCUUCACGAGUUAACUGAUCUUGUCAGAGUGGUGACACCAGCAGCUAAGAGAAGAGAUGCAAGACUGUCCUUUGCUUUCAUAUUUCCUGAUACAAAUGAUCGUUUUGUUGUAAGAGAGUUGUGAAUGCUCUAUUGCUUAAUGAAGGUGGGCAAGACCGAUUCUCAUAGAAAUGGGAAGUUAGAUGACAACAAAGCAUUGGCUCAGCUUGGCUUCCAGAUCGGAGAUUACUUGGAUGUGGCAAUUCUAUAGAGGCUUUACUAUGUCAUAUUUAGGUAAUUAGGCUGCACAUUGUUAGGUUCUAUUCAGUAGGCUUGAGAUGUAUAGCAUGAGCAGCUGGACCUGAGAUCUGCUUAUUUUGUAUUAUUAGAAACUAUAAAGGGAUGGGUAGACAGCAGACUAAAAAUCAUCAUGUGCGUAGAGUUUCAACAUGUUGUAGAACAGGCUGGUACGUAUUGCAAUUUGAAGAAUACGUGACGGGAUUUGCGCUGUA